rnacentral:rRNA from 1 species
AAUAUUGCACAAUGGGGGAAACCCUGAUGCAGCGACGCCGCGUGAGCGAAGAAGGCCUUCGGGUCGUAAAGCUCUAUCAGCAGGGAAGAAAAUGACGGUACCUGACUAAGAAGCCCCGGCUAACUACGUGCCAGCAGCCGCGGUAAUACGUAGGGGGCAAGCGUUAUCCGGAUUUACUGGGUGUAAAGGGAGCGUAGGUGGUGCGUCAAGUCAGAUGUGAAAGCCCGGGGCUCAACCCCGGGACUGCAUUUGAAACUGUCGAACUAGAGUGCAGGAGAGGUAAGUGGAAUUCCUAGUGUAGCGGUGAAAUGCGUAGAUAUUAGGAGGAACACCAGUGGCGAAGGCGGCUUACUGGACUGUAACUGACACUGAGGCUCGAAAGCGUGGGGAGCAAACAGG